UAGUGUUAGAGCUCACUUCACGUCGAACCCCCACGUGAAUGUGUAACUCGGCCAACGCCAAGGAACGACUUGUUUUAAAAAUAAAAAUGUGUUUCACAUGUAUAUAUCUUAACAACCUUGGUGGACUCGGUUAGAUGCCUCGGCCAAGGUAUCCCUGAGGAUUUGUUUUUGGCUUGAGCCUUGUUUUUAAUAAAAGUCAUAAGCCUUAACAAUUGUUUUGGUAAAUUACAAAUAUUUUAUGGUUUAAGAAAUAAAUUGAAAACCUUAUGAAAUGGUUUGUAAUUUGUUGUUUAAACUUGCCUCCAUUUUACUUGCCUUUAGAUAUUUAUGAUAAUGUCUGUUUACUCAUUUGGAUUGCGAAAUCUCACCCACCUCUUUUCUAAAUAUUUCAGGCCUGUGGUAGCUUGUAGAUGCCGAUUUUGUCGAGGAUUUUAGUUGACCCCUCUAUCUCACAGACAGUAGGUUACUAUCACCAACAUCUGGUGUAUUUAGGGGCCACUUGUCAUUGUAAUUAUUAUUGUACAUUAUAACUUUAUAAAUUAUUGUAUGUAUGAAUUUAU
rnacentral:lncRNA from 1 species